UGUUCAAUAUAUUUUUAUGCUUAGUAAAAAUAACCUCCAUUCUUUCACCAAAUUUUAUUUUACCUUAAUUAUACUAUAUAUUAAAUUUCUUGCUCCUCAAUCGACAAUUUUUUUCAGAUGAAGAUGAAGCUACUGACAUGAUUAAUAAUUUUCCAAAGGCCUUUGGUUUAUAUUUGCGUGCUCAUCUGUCGAGCAAAAGAAAAAGGAAAACGGAGGCAACAUGGAUUCAGGUAAACAUUUACAAUUAAUAUGUUUGGUUUUCCUUCUUUGGCUAAUCGGAAGAAAAGAGACAUGAAAUUGAUAGCAGACACAAACAAAUUUCUUUGAUGGUUGAUGGGUUUGAGGUAUGUAUUCUUCUUUGAAUCUUUUACAUUUGAUUAUUUUGGAAACGAUUUGCCUAUGAAUAGGGAACUAUAUUUUGCAGGAAAAUAUAUAUUUGGCUCUCCGGAGUCCAACCAAGAAUUAGCAGUUGUCUCUCUUAACUCCACAAUAUUUGGUUGCAAUUUGAAGGUUCACAACUGUGAAACUAAAUCAACAGGUGGUGAACACAUGAAAAUCAGUCGCUUAGAAUUACAAGAAGCCUCACUACAACUCUUAAUGUUCUCAUUGUCAAUAGGUGGUGAACUAGCAACCACACCCACAUGAUAUGGUUGGGGGAUGGAGACAAGUAUAUGGUCAUUUACAGAUAUUUUAUUGAUGUUUUGGUACUAUAUUAAAUAAAUGUUCCGGACAACUUUUGAAUGCUGAUAAAUGGUUGCUGCUUUUUAAUCAAAGGUCUUCAUCCUAUAAAACAUUCGAUAUAUGGUUCUUCAAGGUAUGUGAAGCUAAAAAAGUUGAACAUGAAACUCACUUAGAAAGAAAAACUAUCUGAUGCAGCAAGAUAUGAAUAUGAUGAUAUGAUUCAUGCGCUAAGCCCUUGACAUUAUAAAGAAUUCAGAUUAAGGAAGUCAUGGGUUUUGUAUUAGAUAACAUGGAAACUACUAGAAAGAUAAAUAUUCCAGUUUCUAUUUCACAUCUGGUAAGGGUAAGAUGGUCAUUUAUAUAAAACCAGUUUUUUAGUGUAUUAGUAUUCCUUUGUUUCUUAAUCAGCUUUAUUGGUUAAUGAUGUAUUUUCCAAGCAAGCAUCAAUAUAUUAGAUUUCCUCCAAAUGCUUAAUUUCUUUUUGAUGGGACAACAUCAACACAUGAUGUCCUUUUAUCUUAUACAAAUACAAUAAUAUUAUAGAAUAAAAAUAAAAAAUAGUAAAUAUUUAUUAAAAAGGGCGAUAUGUUCAUUAUACUUCAAGUAGGAACCGAAAUUUCUAUAAAAUCCCUCAAACAACGACUUCAAAUUCAUUUCGAGUUUUAGGUUUAAAUAACUUUUUGAGGUUUAAAUGGAAAUAAUUAAUUUUUUGUUUAUAAUCUUAUUAAUUGUUCAUUAUUAUAUGUUGAUCUGGAAAUGGUUAUUUUACAUGUGGUUACUAUAAACCGUUAUCUCUGUCAUCAAUUUCAUGGACAAAAAUCUUUUCCAGAUUUGCUUUUGGGGAUAAAAAAAUGUUACGAGUUCUGUCUGAUAACCACCUUUAUAAUUUUCAAAAAAAGUAAGGAGACGAUAAUUUUAAUUUAGAUUAACAAAUAUUAUUUGUUUCUUUAAAUUAGUGUUAAGUGUUGGCUGCUAAUUACUUAUUCAUGUCGUUUCAGACCUUAAAGUUGGCAAUGGUUUAUUAGAAGACAUGGCUCAGGCAUGACGUCGCAAUGGGAACAAAUGAAAGUAGGGAGCUAUAAAAAAUUAAAUGAAGUACAUUGCUUUUUCUUUGCAUUAAGCUAUUUUGAUAACCUGCUUAUUGACAAAAAGUAUGUUUUUCUUUAUUAUCUAUUUUCACAAAUGAAUGGGAACUGAAAAAACCGAGACUCCCAAAGAAGGCUGGUCAUAAGUAGGACCAGAAUGUGUAUUGGGCGAUAUGAACGCAUGGAGUUGUAUGGGAUGCUUCUUUAUGGCACAUGCAUGAGGUACUUAACAGAUCCCAGAGCCACAAAACAAAAAAGAUUUUAUCUUUGAUUGCAAAUUGAAUCAUCAAAUGAUUAAAUAUGCAUUUGAUUCAAAUUUUCAACCAACCUGUUUGCUUUAAGAUUCUUGAAGAUUAGUUACUUGGUAUUGUCAUCUGUGUGUUGUGAAUGAUUAUUGGAGAUGAAAAAAAUGAAGUUAGUUGAGAUUUGAAUGAUAAGUGAAGUACACAUGUUUGUAAAAUUUUCUUUUGUAUUA